rnacentral:rRNA from 1 species
UACGGAGGGUGCGAGCGUUAUCCGGAAUUACUGGGCGUAAAGCGCACGUAGGCGGCUUGGUAAGUUAGAGGUGAAAGCCUGGAGCUCAACUCCAGAAUUGCCUUUAAGACUGCCGAGCUAGCAGGUGAGAGAGGUGAGUGGAAUUCCGAGUGUAGAGGUGAAAUUCGUAGAUAUUCGGAAGAACACCAGUGGCGAAGGCGGCUCACUGGCUCAUACUGGACGCUGAGGUGCGAAAGCGUGGGGAGCAAUCAGG